UUUAUAUUUUAUCUUUUCCACCUUUUAUGUGAUCCAUGAAUUUCAUUUUAAUUACCUUUAUGCUCCUUUGCAGUUUGUAGUUUCAUGUAUUUUGGUCAAAGAGAUGCAGCAAUUAUGCCGUAAGUUAGCUGUGUUCUAAAUGGUCCCAACCAUGCAGGGAGGAGCUAUAAGGUACUGAUAUAAUGGACUGGUAAGUUACACUACUUAUCGACAUCUGAAGUUCUCUCUAAUUAAUGACUAAUUCCAAUGUUUUGUUUCACUCUUUAGUUGAAAGAAUUUUGUCUUCUGAACAGGUAUGUAUGUUUCCUAUUAGUUAUAGCUCCUUUUAUCUUACAGCCUGCAAGAUCUUCCUGUCAGGGUAGGAUUAAAUAUGUCUUCGCGUGAGAUAUACGGCACAUUAGAAUUACUUGAAACUUCAUCUUUAUAAACAAUUUCUCAUGGCCUACAACUCAAGUCUCAGGUUCCCAAAACGUUGGUGGUUCGGUGCUCUUUCUCAUCUAUUUAAGCUUAUCUAAUAAUAUACCGCGAGAGGAGAAUACGUGAUUUUGAUCCAUGUUUAACAAUGAGGUACUUUUAACUCAGAUGUUCAUCUAAGAGACGUUAAUCUAUCGGCCAAGUUUUAAUUCUAAUGUAUAAACUUUUACUGUUUUUCCCUUGUAACAGGCAUAAUUCAAAACAAAUCUUCUUGACCAGUUUGAAAUGAAGUUUGAGACUGUUUUCAUUAAUUUAUGAACUUGUGCAUCGCAAGUCCCUUUUUUUUUUUUUUGGAAAGAUUUGAUUAACUGUUUCAUCUGGGCAUAAUCCAAAAAAAAUCUUCUUGUCCAGUAGAAAUGGGAUUCGAACCUGCUUUUGCAAGAAUUCAAAGAAAGAACUUUUGCAUUUAAGGAGAAAUUUGAACUCGUUCAUGCAAUAUAUAAUCUCUGGUAUGAUUCCUCAACUGUAUAUAUUUUCUUUCCGAAACUGUAUUAUAUCACUAAUCUGUACUAUAUUACUAGCUUAAAAAAAAUAGAGCUUCAUAUGUUGCAUUUAUUAUCUAUUUAAUUAAUUGGUCAUUUGUUGGGACAGGUUGGACUCGGCUAGUCCUCUAACAUUCUUCCAUCCCGAUUUUUCUCACUAAAGGAAUCACAGGAAACUAAAUCCGUUUAAAAUUCAUAAGGCGUGUUAAUGGUUCACUGGCUGAUCUCAUUAUCUUUCACCUAGCAUUUGUCGAACUAGGCUCGAAGGUUGUUUUUUAUUUUAUUUUCUAUCCUUUGGAGACCACAAGAAUUUAUAUUUUAUAUUUUCUACCUUUUUAUGUAUUCCAUGAAUUUCAUUUUAAUUACCUUUCUUCUCCUUUGCAGUUGUAGUUUCACAUAUUUUGGCCAAAGAUAUAGCAAUUAAGCUGUAAGUUAGCUGUGUUCUAAAUGGUCUCAACCAUGCAGGAAGGAGUUAUAGGGUACCGAUAUAAUGGACUUGUAAGUUACACUAUUUAUCAACAUGUGAAGUUCUCUCUAAUUAAUGUUCUCUCUAAUUAAUGACUAAUUCCAGUGUUUUGUUUCAUUCUUGUGAAUAGUUGAAAGGACUUUUUCUUCUGAACAGGUAAAUGUAUGUUUCCUAUAUUUAUAGCUCCUUUAUUUACAGCCUACAAGAUCUUAUUGUCAGGGUAGGAUAAAAUAUGUCUUGGCAUAUACAGCGUAUUAGAAAUACUUGGACCUCUAUCUUUAUAAACAAUUUCUCAUGGCCUACAACUCAGAAAUUUGAUUAGGCGAUGCCUAGAAUUCAGGUUAUUCCGCUUCUCCUAAUUCUUCUGGUCAAAUUGUUUGUGACCUUUUUCCUCAAAAGCACUAGGAUCUCCUACCCUCGUUUUAAGAAAAUGCAAUGCAUAAUGUAUAUAUUCAGUAUAAUAUGUUACACCUGAUAUGCAAACUGAUCACCUCAUUGCAGGAUUAAGGAGCAUAAUGUUAUAAUACUUGCUUUCAUUUCCUUUCUUUCUUCAUGAGCCAAAGAGUUUUCUGUUUGUGCGUUUAACAGUAUUUCUAAUCAUUCACUGCACUGUUUCAUUAGAAACUUUAGAAUAGAAGUUUGAGAUGGGCAGAUCUGCAUGUGUAAGCAGGUGCGUAUAUUUAAUGGGCGUUUUAACCCUCUUUGCAAGGAGUUAACAUGAAGACACUAUGGUCUAUCAGCUGAUUUUACUAGAUAGUCUAAUAACAAUCUGUCUUGGUUUCUAUGCUUAAUACUUAUCGUCCAUAUAUCUUAUUUGCAGUUAAUCUAAAGUCAUCUUGUGCAAGCGAUUUACUUACUCAGUUUUUAUUUUAGAGAUGUUAACGCAACUUCUGCUAACUUGCGAUCUACUAGAGUAUCGAUUACUAAAUUUGUUAACGCACUUUUGAACUCUGUUUCAUCAUGAUGCAGUUUCCUGGUACAAUCUCCAAUUUCUGUCACUUGCAUAUUUGAUAUUUCUUUUGUGAGAAGCUCGUCUUAAAACAUGUUUUACUGUGCCAUUUUCUGUACAUGUUGGUAGAAUGAUAGGGCAUUUAAAUGUUGGUCACUAGUCGAACAAUACCCUCAAUGGAUAGAAAUUGCAACUGCUAUUACUACUAUUGGAAAUCUAUAUGAAUUGUAUGUAAAAUUUCUAUCUUAACAUACUGGCAUAGCCAUGCACAGCAAGGACAAAUACGCUUUUGGGGAUCAUUACAUUCUUUGAUUGUUAGAAUAAGAAGAUGAUAACUUGCUAGGGAGAAAGUAACUAACCAUAAAUAAACCCUAUAUUAGCAGCUGAUUAGUGCUGUUUAAUCCAUAUUUGUAUUUAAACUUCUUCUUCCUUCUAUAUUUGCAGCUGAGAACUUGCGAAAAGUUGAUCAGUGUGUAUCAAGUCAGUGUGUAAGAUUCGAACAAAUACAAAAUUCCUGUCGGGUAUGCGCUUUUCCUUUUUUGAAAGGUUGGGGGGGUUCCUCCAACACUAUAUUGGUUGAGUAUUACACUAAUGGAUAUACUUUUCUUGUCUCUUUUGGGCAAGCCCUGAUAGUUGCAUGGUGGCUGGACGAAGCGCCAAAACCUACAACCAAGUCGCAAGUGCUAGUCAUUUUUCCAGUUUAAAAGGCAUUAUGGGACAAUUAAAUGAGAUAUAAUGCUUCAUCUAAAGACUGCUCUCUGUUUAAUUGUUAUUUGCGAUUUCUUUCACUUUUGAUUGUUGUUGCGAUCAGAUUUUCAUAACUGGGUCUUAUUACUAAGGAGAUUAUUUUCGCAAGCAGAUUUCCUGAGUCUUAGGUUCCCAGAAUGUUGGUGGUUCGGUGUUCAUCUUCUGUUGGCCACAACAAGGUACCAGUGUGCACCAAUCAUUUAGUCGUUUAUUUAAGCUUAUCUAACCAUAUACCAAGAGAGGAUAAUAUGUGAUUCUGAUCCAUGUUUAACAAUGAGGUAUUUUUGACUCAGAUGUUCAUCUGAGAGACGUUAAUCAAUCGGCUAAUAUAUAAACUUUUUACUUUUUUUCUCAAAGCAUAAUUAAAAACGAAUCUUCUUGUCCAGUUUAAAUGAAGUUUGAGCCUGUUUUUACUAAUUUAUGAACCUUGUGCACUGCAAGUCUUUAAAAAACUUUUUUUUGAAAGGUUUGAUUAACUGUUUUAUCUGAGAACGGCGUAAUCCAAAACAAAUCUUCUUUCUAGCUGAAAUGGAAUUCAAACCUUUCUAGCUGAAAUGGAAUUCAAACCUGCUUUUGCAAGCAUACAAAGAAAGAACUUUUGCAUUUAAGGAGAAAGUUGAACUUGUUCAUCUAAAAAUUUUAUCUCUGGUAUGAUUCCUUAACUGUAUAUAUAUAUAUUCCUGAACCUGUAUUAUACCACUGAGCUUGUACUAUAUUACUAGCUUAAAAAAAAAAAAAAUAGAGCUUCAUAUGUUGCAGUUGUUAUCUAUUUAAUUAAUUGGUCAUUUAUUGAAACAGGAUGACUCGGCCGAUUGCGCUAGAACAUAACGGAAGGCUUUUAGAUUUUGUCAUAAAGCUAGCUCUCAAACUCAUAAAGUAACUUAGGGGUGUGAAACAGCUAAACAGAGUAACCGGAUCUAAGGUCUAGGUCCGGUUUAGAUUUUCUUUAUCAUUUUGAGAAAAAAAAGCGGUUUGGUUUGGGUCAAUAUGGUAGGAACCGCAUAAUUUUGAUUCAGGUUUUGGUUCUGAUCAUGAGAAUCGGCUUAAACCAGACCAACCGGUUAGUGUUUCAUAUAUUUUAAACUGAACGGUUUGUUCUACUUAAUUAGCCCAUUACACGUAACGUUGGAAAGCUAACCUGCGCAUUAUUAAGUGAUGAAGCGCAGGAUAAGCAUGAAGGCAACGGACGAGGGCUAUAUAAUGGUUUCGCGGCCCUUCCGCACGCAAUUCCAAUACAAAUCGGGAACAGUCGCUCUUCUUCCUCUCUCCUCCUCCUUGAUCCCGCCUCGUCGACGACUCCGAAACCUACGAAGCCGAAGCGCGAACGACUCCGAAACCUACGAAGCCGAAGCGCUAUUCCAAUACAAAUCGGGAACAGUCGCUCUUCUUCCGCUCUCCUCCUUCUUGCUCCCGCCUCGUCGACGACUCCGAAAACUACGAAGCCGAAGCGCGAACGAAACCCUAAGGUACUAGCUCGAUUUCUCUUAAUCUUCGAAAGGAGCCUAUCUCUUUUCCGUCCUAAAAAUUUGAUCUCUCUUUUUCUCCCUCCAGUGUGAUGAAGGAUCGGAUCCCUCUUCCACUCCCUCCAUCGAAUCCUCAAUUUGAGCGGACAUUGAUCUCGAUCUCGAUCUCGAACUCUCUUGUCGAUUUGAGAUCGAAGGAUCCCUGAUCAAUUAAAGUCUAUGUACGUGAUCUAAAGGAAGCGAGAUGAUUCUUUGAGGUGAACUAUAUCGUUCAAUACUUGAUCUUGAUUCUGCUGCGUUUGAUUUUGUUGCUGCUUUUGUUCAUGAUUCAUGAACUUGCUGUUUGAAGGAAAAGAUUGAGGAAUUUGCGGAGUUUUGCACCUGGAGAAGAAUGAAUCUGAUUUGUUUUUUUUAAAUUUCGAAAUAACUUUCUAUAUUGCGCCUAAGUACGUUUUGAUCUAAAGAAAGCGAGAUGAUUCUUUGAGGUGAACAAUAUCGUUCAAUGCUUGAUCUUGAUUCUGCUGCGUUUGAUUUUGUUGCUGCUUUUAUUCAUGAUUCAUGAACCUGCUGUUUGAAGGAAAAGAUUGAGGAAUUUGCGGAGUUUUGCACCUGGAGAAGAAAGAAUCUGAUUUUUUAUAAAAAAUUUCGAAAAAACUUUCUAUAUUGCGCCUAAGUACGUUUUGAUCUAAAGAAAGUGAGAUGAUUCUUUGAGGUGAACUAUAUCGUUCAAUGCUUGAUCUUGAUUCUGUUGCGUUUGAUUUUGUUGCUGCUUUUAUUCAUGAUUCAUGAACUUGCUGUUUGAAGGAAAAGAUUGAGGAAUUUGCGGAGUUUUGCACCUGGUGAAGAAGGAAUCUGAUUUUUUUUUUUUAAUUUCGAAAUAACUUUCUAUAUUGCGCCUAAGUUUACUUUCUAGUACUAUUUCACAGUUCCAGCUGAAUUUACUUGCAGGUAGCUGAUUGAUAAACGAACGAGAAGAAGAAAAGGGUUUAGCUGGUAAAUCUGAUGCUUCAACUGAAGUACUAGAAAUAGGCUACUCUUUUCAUCUGAUGUGCUAUCGUGUUUGUGAAUUUCAGAAAAGCCAAUCAAAAAGUUUCUAGUUUCAAAUAGUUUAGACAGAGCUCUCUAGUCCAAAAUAUAUAUGAAUUUUGUGCAUGGUUCUAUCUUAAUAGGCACGCAGGACAAGGGGUUUAUGUAUUGUCUCCUUAGUGACUAACAAUUGGAAAUUUGUUAAAGGAUCUACCUAUAUAGGCUAUCUAACCUCAUCAUGAGUCUGAGGAAAAACAUCUUGCUUCUACUAUUUGAUUGGCUUUGUUGUGUUUAAUUACUCUGAAGAUUAUCUGAUUUAUGUGCUGCUUAUGUUGGUGCUAGCGUGGUGAUAGUGUUAUUAUAGGGAAAUAAAGUAUAUUCUUAUUACAGGGAAAUAAAGUAUAUUCUUCUUCCAGGCAUGCAAACUAUUGAACUUAUGAUGCUUCAUGAGUCUAUUGGAACACUGCUUCUCAACAUUAGAUUUUAAUAGAAUACAUAAACUUUAAUUCAAAAAAAAAAAAAGGAAUCAGAAUCCAUAACUUACAGGAGGCAUGUGGAUUCUACUUUUUCUUUGCAUUUGAAGUUAUUGGAUCAAAAUUGCCAAAUGUUACUAAAUUGUCUGAAUAUUAUUGAAAUUUCUCAUUCUGCUGUUCGCUUUUGAACUCUCCAGGCAUCCAAAUAUGGGACUCAAACUUCAAUCGGCUGGUUAGCUGUUUAAUUUAGAUUUGUAUUUCACUCAAGAUCUGAAUAUCCUGUUGGAUCUCAUGCAAAACUGUUGGAUUUUCUUUUUUUGUCUUAUGAACCAUUUUGAUGGAUUCUUUUCGCUUUUCUGUUUUUCUUUUCUUACUUUAGUUUACAGCUGGGAACUCUGCAAAAAGUUGAUGGGUCUCAAUAUGGUGUGAUAUAUUCGUUUAAAUAUGAAUUUCUUGUUUGGUUUCAUAAAGAAUAUUUUAUUGUUGCAAUGAUGGGUCUUCUUUUGGUUGCACCAUUACAUUGAAAAUGUAAUCGAAUGAAGUGGUAGCAUGCUACCAUUUUCUCAAAAAGGAAAAAGAAAAAGAAAAAUAAAAAGUACUUGGAAAAUGUUGAGUGUCAAAACCCUGCAGCUAGAUAGCAAGAACUGGUCCUAUUGCCAAUUUUUACAUUAUGUGAGAGGCGUAGCGAACAAUGUGAUGGGAAUGGAGUCAGCAAUGUCUAAUACAUAACAGGGCAAGGUACUUGAAGAUACAAUUAGAUUUUCUUUUUCUUUGCUUUCGCUAGAACAAAUUAUGUUGAUAGAUUUUCCAUGUAUUCUUCUUGCAUAUCAUUGCUUCUGCCUUAUCUUAUGUUUUUUCUGGUAAGAUGGGAUACAUUUCUGUCGUUCAAGCUUUUAUUAGGUGAUAAUGUAGUUCUUUCGUAGGCAAGCAACUCAAACAAUCAGUAGAGCAAGCCGUAUGAAUCUUAAACGUGAUGGGCAUAAUAAUGUAACAGAAAUAAAUGCUCUCGAAACUAGGUAGCAUUCAUCUGAAUUUCAUCAUUUUGUCUUUUAUUUAGUUUAUUGCUCCAAUUUAGAUAUUGAAAAUACUGUUUUAGUUGAAACUUGUUAAAAUAGACUCUGCACAAGAGAAGUUUGUUUUGUUUAUCUCUUUGUUAAAUAGGCCCCUAGAUUCUGUACAAUAUCUAAAUCUUUUAAACUACAUUCUCUCUUCUUUUUUCUUUCAAAACUUUGUACUUGGAUACUGCUUGGUAUUAUUUUUGUUGGAUUGAUAUCCAUGCGGCUGUUUCGAAUAUAUCAUGGUCUAGUCAUAGAGAUCCAAGCCAAAUUUUUACUUGACUCCUUAUUUAAUUUGAUUUUGUUGAGUUAAAGAAAUUAAUGACUCAAACAAUCUGAAUUAUAUAAUUGUCACAAAAGGCGACUAAGCUUCAUGUGUUUGAGAAUGUCGGCGCUCAUCUUCAAUUGGUUGCAACAACCUAUUAUGUAGAAAUAUGCUUUACUUCUUUCUCUCUUGCUCUGGUUCUUUAUUCGUCCAUAUAAGCUGAUCUAUACUUGCUUCUCAGCCUGCCUGCAAUCCUUCCUGGCCGGUGAAACUGUUGGACGAACAGGACUCAUCUUUCAUGCGGGCUCUCUUUCAUUGGGAAAGCAAUCUACGUAAGUCUUCUCACUUGGAAAACAGCUCAUGAUCAUUUGAUGAAAAUAGACAGGUUCAUAAAAAUAAGUAGGAAGGCUAUUCAGUGAGUUUAGAUGGAAGCAAGCAAAUAGCUGCCAAGGGAAUAAAGAACCAGAGCAAGAGAGUCAAGAUAUCUGAUAGCAGUAGAGAAGAACGUUGCUCUGAUUUAACAAUGAGGUAUGUUUUGAGUAAGAUAUUUUAUUCUCAUCUGUAGAGCUUUCAAUAAAAACUGUUUUUUUUUGCAGGCAUAAUUCAAAGCAAAUCUCCUUGUCCGGAGACAGGAGAGCUUGGUUUUGCUAAUUUACAAACUUUGUGCACCAUAAUUACAUGCAAAGGGGUAGUCUAAUUUGUUCAUGUAAGGAUUUUGCAAGAUACAGACAUCUCUAGUAUGAUUCCUGAACUCUAAUAUUUUUAUCAGAAAAAAAACUAAUUUUUAUCUGUCCUCACAUGUCUAUUGUUGGAGUAUCAUGGAAUUUUGUACCUAAAUUGGGACAAUUUCGUAAGUUUGUAUGGGAAUUGUCGAGUUUUUAUUUGCAUGGCAUUAUACAUGGAUGAUCUUAUAAAUGAUAAUUACCUUCGUCUAAUGCAAAUUAUAGCGUCUAAUUUAAUUAAAUUGAAAAAUCAAUUAGAAUGAGGAUUCAAAGUGUUGCAAAAUAGAUACAUGCAUCUCGAACCUUUGCAUUAAAAGAUAGCUAUGGAGAAAGGAGCACAGGGAGAUAAAUCUCCUUCUUGGACCUAAUAUUCAUUCACAAAAUUUGGGUACUGUAAUAUAUGACCAGUCACAUUUUCAGAUGACAACAUGGCAAUUGCAGCAGCAAGAUCUUCCAUGCUGACCUCUUGCUUUCAGGUGUCACUAAGUUUUGAUUUCAUCUGCAUAAUGAUAGAUGCCUUUUUAAUUGCUUGGAGGUUCCUUUCGACGAUCAACUUUAUUGCCUCUUUCUUUCUUUUCUUUCCCUUAUAGUUUUUGUUAUUAUGUGAAAGCAUCAACCUACUACGAAUACGACGUUAAAAUAGUUUGAUUAAAAAUUUACAUGGACCCUCUCAACUAUAGGCCAUUUUGAAAUUGAACCCUCAAUUAUUUUUCUUUUGAAUUUGGCUUCCUCGACUUUUGAUUUUUUUGAUUCAUGCUAUUUUCACUUGGAGAAUUUGGGGCUGUCAAACAGCUUUAAUUUUUAAUGAUUCUCCUCUUCUAAUGUAUGAAAAUAAUAAAAAAAAAAAAUUAAAGUUUGAGGGAAUAUCAAUCGGAAGAAAAACAGCUGAGGGGUCUAUUUCAAAAUAACCUAUAGUUUGAGCGGGGAUCCCUUUUAACUUUUUCCCAAAAGCUUUUCUGCUUUUAACAAUCCAUGUUUACUUCAUCUUUUAUUUCGGCACUCAUACGGCUGAGCUUUGCUUUAAAUAUUUUGAUAUUUGAAACAACUUGGCUAAUUGGUAUCUCAGGCUUCCUACUUACUGCUAAAUUUGCUUCAGUAUCCAGCAUCAUAUAUUUUACUCGAUGACGAUGAAAUAGUUUGUUGUAAUAUAUGUUGGUUUUGUGAUCCUCUAUUACUUUAAUGUAGUGCGUGUAUAACACAAAAGUUGUCUGACUUAAACUUCUUCGCUUUCAGUCAUUUCAUGUUAUUUCUUUCUUAACUUGCAAGUGUGCAUAAGAACUUACAGCUACUUGCUGGAUACAUGCCUGAAUUUUGUGAGAAAAUCAUUCUAAGCUGUGUUGGGAAUUUGACUAGGUUUACAGAGGAUUUUAUCCGUCCCUAUAUUAGGAAUGUGACUAGGUUUACGGAGUACUUUAUCCCUACCUAUGUGAAUUUCAGAUCUGGUGAUUUUUUUUCUUUUUUUUUUUGUUUCUCUCUCUCAACUUUAUUUAAUAAUUUGUUUUUUGUAGACUUUUGUAUUUUUGACUGCCAUGUAAGGUACCCCAGGGAUGGUUCUUAAAGAGAGAGAGAGAAAAAAAAAAGGGGAAAUUUCUUUGAUUUGUUACAUGAUAGCAGCAUCAUCUGAGUGAUUGGUAAGUAUCUUCUAUAUGAUAGGAGCAAAUUUCUCUUGCAGGUGCUUUAUCGGAAGUGCACUGCUUCAAUAAUGUCGGAUAUAACAAAGUAUGCCUCUAUAACAUUUCCUUCGCAUAUAUUCCCUUACAAACCGAAUUCAUUAAAUUAAUUAUCAUGCUAUGUAACUGCCACACAUAUUCUUGCUAUAUCAGCAAGGCAAAUUUUUCAGUAUCUGGGUUAUAGUUGAAAAAGAUGCUUGGAUUGUACGAGCAAGUUAUAGCCUUUUGUUUAGAAGCCCCCACAUAAACUGUUAAUGAGUAUGUAGUUGGAGUUCAGUUUUGUAAUGAAUAUUUAGCGACAAAGUAUUUGUUUCUUGCUAACUUUUUUUUUUUUAAACCAUACUCCAGGUUGAGACGAAUUGUGGAGUCCAAGGGUAAAUUUAAACUUGAGAGGAUAAUACCUUUGGAGCAGUCAUAAAACGGUUCAACAAUUAUUUACUCGUCAAAAAUGACGAAUAAUUCCGAGUAGAGCCUCGACUACGACUACCCAAUAUUUCUUGCUUUUGCAAAUGAAGAGCACCACUCUACCUUGAUGUUAGUGGCAUAAUGUAACUUUCUAAGUUGGUAAUCAUGCUUUUAAGUUAAAGCUUUGUAGAGAGAGUGAGAAUUGAUGCUUUUAUAAAAACGAAGAAUCUGACAUUCAUUAAAUGAAUAGAGGUACGCAAUGCAAAUCCAUGACCUUGCGCCUCAUUUCUUGUUUAAUUUUCAAGUGAAAUUCCUGUUUUUUUACUUGAAACAGGCAUAAUUCAAAACAAAUCUUCUUGUCCAGUUUGAAAUGAAAUUUGAGCCUGUUUUUACUAAUUUAUGAAAUUUGUGUACAACAAGUCUUUAAAAAACUUUUUUUUUUUUGAAAGGUUUCAUUAGCUGUUUUAUCUGAAAGCGGCAUAAUCCAAAACAAAUCUUCUUGUCCAGUUGAAAUGGAAUUCGAACCUGUUUUUGCAAGCAUUCAAAGAAAGAACUUUUGCAUUCAAGGAGAAAGUUGAACUUGUUCAUGCAAAGAUCUCUCGUAUGAUUCCUUAACUAUGUAUAUUUUUCUUCUUAAACUGUAUUAUGUCACUAAGCUGUAAUGUUAUUAGCUUAAAAAAACCAAAAAAAAUAGAGCUUCACAUGUUGCAUUUAUUAUCUCUUUACAUAAUUGGUCAUUUGAUGAUAACAGGUUGGACUCCGAUUGCGCUAGAACAUAACAGAAGGCUUUUAGAUUUGGUUAUAGAGCCAACUCUCAAACUCAUGGAGUAAGUUCGGGGUGUGAAACUGCUAAACAGAGUAACCAAAUCGAACCAAUGGUUGAGGUCUGGUUUACAUUUUUGUUAUCAUUUUGAGAAAAAAAAAAAACUGGUUGGGUUUUGGGUCAAUAUGGUAGGAUUAGGAACCGUGUUAUUUUGAUUCAGCUUUUGGUUCUGAUCUUGAUUCUGCUGUGUUUGAUUUUGUUACUGCUUUUAUUCAUGAUUCAUGAACUUCCCGUUUGAAGGAAAAAAUUGAGGAAUUUGCAGAGUUUUUGCAUCUGGAGAAGGAUUUAGGUGCUCUUAUUCCUACUGGCAUAUUUGAUCUGAUUUUUUAUUUUUUAAAAUUUUGAAACAGAUUUCUAUAUUGCUCCUAAUUUUACUUUAUAGUACUUUUUUACAGUUCUAGCUGUAUUUACCUGCAGGUAGCUGAUUGGUAAAUGAAUGAGAAGAAAAGGGUUUAGGUAAUAAAUCUGAUGCUUCAACCGAAGUACUAGAACUAGGUGACUCUUUUCAUCUGAUGUGCUAUUUGUGUUUGUGAAUUUCAGUAAAGCCAAUAAAAUAGUAUCCAGUUUCAAAUAGUUUAGAGAGAGCUCUCUAGUCCAAAAUCUAUAUGAAUUCUGUGCAUGAUUCUAUCUUAACGUCACUUGUAGCCACGCAGGACAAGGGGAAUUUUUGUAUUGUCUCCUUAGCGACCAACAAUUGGAAAUUAGUUCAAGGAUUUACCUGUAUGGGCUCUCUUAACCUCAUCAUGAGUCUGAGGCAAAACAUUUUGCUUCAACUAUUUGAUUGGCUUUGUUGUGUUUAAUUACUCUGAAGAUUAUCUGAUUUAUGUGCUUUUUAUGCUCGUGCUAGCGUGAUGAUAGUAGUAUUACAGGGAAAUAAAAUAUAUUCUCCUUCCAGGUGCUAUUGAGUUUAUGGUGCCUCAUGAGUCUAUUGAAAUGCUGCUUUCUCAGAUUAUAGUGGAAUAUUCUUCUUCCAGGUGUGCAAACAAAGUAAAUUCUUCUUCCAGCUGUGCAAAUUGUUUUGUUUAUGGUGCCUCAUGAGUCUAUUGAAAUGUUCUCAUCAUUCUCAGAUUUUAGUAGAAUACAUAAACUUUAAUUCAAAAAAAAAGGCGUAUGGAAUCGGAAUCCGUAACUUAAAGGAAGCAUGUGGUGCAAAGAAGUUAUUGGAUCAAAAUUGCCAAAUUUUACUAUAUUAUCUGAAUAUUAUCGAAUUUUUGCAUUCUGCUGUUGGCUUUUGAACUCUUCGGGCAUCCAAUUAUAUGGGACUCAUACUUCAAUCGGUUGGCUAGCUGUUUAAUCUAGAUUUCUAUUUCGCUUUUGAUGUGAUGGAUUUGUUCAAAAUCCGAAUUUCUUGUUGGAUUUUUCUCUUAUGAAUUGUUUUGAUGGAUUCUUUUCACUUUUCUGCUUUUCUUUUCUUAGUUUAGUUUAUAGCUCGGAAUUCUUUGAAAAGUUGAUGCGUCUAAUUUAAUAUGAUACACUCGUCAAAUAUGAACUUCUUAUUUGGUUCCAUAGGAAUAUUUUUUUGUUGCAAUGAUAGGUCUUCUAUUUUACUGCAGAGUAUUGUUGGAUUUUUGUCUUAUGAAUUGUUUUGAUGGAUUCUUUUCACUUUUCUGCUUUUCUUUUCUUAGUUUAGUUUAUAGCUCGGAUUUCCGCGAAAAGUUGAUGCGUCUAAUUUGAUAUGAUACACUCGUCAAAUAUUUGGAAAAUAUGAAGUGCCAAAAUCUUGCAGCGAACUGGUCCUUUUUCGCCAAUUUAAACUACAUUAUUAUGUGUGAGGCAUAGUGAACAAUGAGAUUGGAAAGGAGUCGGCAAUGUCUAAUACAUAACAGGGCAAGGUAGUUGAAGAUACAAUUAGGUUUUCUCUUUCUUUGCUUUCUCUAGAACAAAUUAUCUUGAUAGAUUUUCCAUGUAUUCUUCUUGCUAUCAUUGCUACUGCCUUAUCUUAUGCGUUUUCUGGCAAGGUGGGAUACAUUUCUUUCCUUAGAAGUUUUUAUUAGGUGAUAAUGUAGUUCUUUUAUAGUUGAUCAACUCACACAAUCAGUAGAGCAAGCCAUAUGAAGCUUAAACGAGAUGAGCAUAAUAAUGUAAGAAAAAUAAAUGCUCUAGAAACUAGUACGCAUUCAUCUGAAUUACAUCAUUUUGUCUUUUGUUUAGUUUAUUCUCGAAUUUAGGUGCUUGAAAAAAAUACUGUUUUGGUUGAAAGUUGUUAAAAUAGACUCUGCACAAGAGAAGUUUAACUGUAAGUCGGAGUUUUCCCACAGUUUUGUUUAUCUCUUUGUUAAAUUAGGCCUCUAGAUUCUGUACAAUAUUCCAAAUCUUUUAAACUAACAAUUUUUGUUGGAGAGAGAUCCAUGUGGCUGUUUCAAAUAUAUCAUGGUCUAGUCAUAGAGAUCGAAGACAAAAUUUACUUGACUCCUAAAUUUAAUUUGAUCUUGUUAAGUUAAAUAAAUGAAUAACUGAAACGAUCUGAAUUAUAUAAUUGUCAUAAAUGGCAGCUAAGCUUCAUGUAUUCUAGAAUGUCGGCACUCGUCUUCAAUUGGCUGCAGCAAGUUAUUAUGCAGCAAUGUGCUUUACUUUUUUCUCUCUUGUUCUUGGUCUUUCUUCGUCCAUAUAAGCUGAUCAGUUAUCAUAUACCAGGAGAGAAGAACGUCGCUCUGAUUUAACAAUGAGGUAUGUUUUGAGUCAGAUAUUUUAUUAUCAUCUAUAGAGCCUUCAAUAAAUAUGCUUUUUUUGCAGGCAUAAUUCAAAGCAAAUCUCCUUGUCCAGAGACAGGCGAGCUUGGUUUUGCUAAUUCACAAACUUUGUGCAACAUAACUUACAUGCAAAGAGGUAGUCUAAUUUGUUCAUGCAAGGAUUUUGCAAGAUACAACCAUCUCUGGUAUGAUUCCUAAACUGUAAUAUUUUUAUCUGAAAAAACUAAUUUUAUAUGUUGCUUUUAUUGUUUCUUUAUUAAUUUGUUAUGGUUAUUUGUAGAACAGGUUGGACCCUGAAAAUUCAAAAGGUGUACCUAGUCAGAAGGUAAAGUGUAUUGGGAAUCCCUUCAACAAUACACUAGCUUAAAUUGGCCACCUCCACUUAUUUUUAUUUUUUUUUUCAUUGAACCUCCUUAACUUUAAUUUUUUGAAAUUACAUGAUUUUAUUUAAUUAAAAUUAUGAAUUUUAUCAAAUUAAUUAUUUAUUUCAUCAAAUUUAAUGGUUUGAUUAAUUUUUAGCGAAUGAAGUAAAUAUUUCACGUUUAAUAUUUUAACGGAAUUAUUAAAUUUUUAAAAAAUAAACUAUCUAGAAUAACUUGAAUAAAAAAAUUAUAAGUUAUGGAGGUGUUUAUUUGUUAUGGCCCAUUGUUCUUUUUUGGUGGUGUUCGGCUCAUUAAUUUCGAACGUUAAGCUAUAUAGUACCGUCUUUACUUUUAAGCUAUUGCCACUUUAUCCAUUCCCAUCAGUUCUCUUCUAGUUCUUAUCAUAAAAUGCAAUAAAAAUUUUCGUUGAUGUCUGGAAAUACUAAAACUGCCCUUUUUCGAAAGGUAAAGGAAUGGGAUAAAACCAGGGAGUUUCUGUAUUAGUAUUUCAUUCAAAAUUUCAUUUUAUGUUCCAAAAGAUUGUUGAUAAGGAACUGACAUGAGGAGGUAUAGUAAUAAUGAUUUAAAACAAUCAAAGGGUAAUGUUUAGGUUUUUAAAGUUCAGCAUGGCAAAGUAAUAACGGCUAUUUAGUUCAGAAGAGUCUUCUGCAUUUUAGUUCUCCUUUUUUCUAAAAAAAAUUAAUUAGCUGUAUGUACUGGACGAGAAUUAAAGUCUGUCUUUUUGUUUUUAUUUGAGACUGAAAUUUCAUCCUCUUUUGAGUGCUGUUGCCUGGAGAUUUCUUAACUGCACCAUAUCACGUGGAGAUCAUUUUUGGCAUGAGAAGAUACAAAGAGGAAACCUCGCAUUUACGACUACGUAGGCACUCAUUUUCACUUGGCCACAGCAAGGUAUAAUGCAGCAAACACUCCUUUUUGCCCUUGGUCCUUAGUCACCUAUUUAAACUGAUCUAUUAUGAUAUGCUGGGAGAGAUCUGAUUAUGUUUAAAAAUGAUGUGUGUUUUGAAAUUUGAAUCAUAUGUUUGUCAACAGUCAGCUAACUGUUUAUUCUAAUCAAUAAAUCUUUUCAAUAAAUUGCAUUUUUUGUAAGCAUACUUCAAAUAGUUCUCCUUGUCCAACUUGAAGUAGAAUUCGGACCUAAUUUUUCCUAAUUUAAAAACUUUGUGUACCCUAAUUACGAGAAACCAAAGAACACACAUGCAAAGAGAUAGUGGAACUUGUUCAUGCAAGGAUCUUGCAAUACAAUAGAAAACCCAAGGAUAAUAGUUUAUAGUUCCUCAGCCAUCUCUAGUACGAUUCAUAAACUCUAAUAUAGUUGGUUGAAAAACUACAAUUUUAUAUGUUGUUUUUGUCUCUUUAAUUAAUUGGUUAUAUUGGACAGGUUGAACCCCGAUGGGUUCAAAGUUCAAACAGUCCGAUACAGGUGUUAGCCAAAUUGGAAGACCUCAAAGAGGAAACUUGUUACAAAUGGCCAUUGCACUGAAGCAGGAAUUUACGUCCAAUCACGGAUUUACCCAGCGGUGCGAAAUUCUUCGAAAAUCAGCUGUUGCACGUUCAUUGAAGAUAAAAAUGUAAAACACUCUUUUUUCAAGGUAUAGGUGUAUUUCUCCUAUUUGUUUCAUUUAAUAAAAAUGUGAGUUACAUGUACAAACAAGUACAAAAUACAAUAAGUGAUGGUAAGAUACAACUCCCAGUUAUGAUAACUUUAACUAACUACAUAGGUACACUAUGUGGACUUUUCUUCCCAUUUCAACAGUUCAUCAAUAAUUCCUAUUGAAAAUUCUAUCGUUCCAUUCCUUCCACAUGUUCCAGGAGAAGGUGGUGAACGUUGAGUUCAUCGUGCCUUGCAGGUCUACCAGAAUGCUUCCUCUCAACAUUCUCAUGUUUCAGUAAUUGUUUUUUCCGUUUUUAUUUUUCUUCCAUUUUAAGUGAAUGAUCUUUAGGGUUACAAAUUCAUCCCAGGUUAAUCAUACAUAAAAUUUAAUAAAAGAGUCAUUUCGGAGGAUUCUCACCAGUAACCUCGAAUGGAACCGGAAUCCUUUCUUGUAAAACCAAGCCUUCUGCUUUUGCUGAAUGAUCUUUUAUGAUGUCAGCUCCAGUGUGGCUUCUUCUUGCACUCAUAUUAAGUCAGCAAGGCAACAUAGAUAUGUUUUGCCAGUGGGUUUUAUUCUCUCUUUGCAUUUGAAGUUAUUUUGAACUGAAAUUGCCAAAUUUUAUUUAAUUACCCAAGUCAUAUUUGUGAUUCUGCCACUGGCGUGAACUCUUUUGUCAUCCAAUUAUGGGACUCAAGCUCCAAAUGGCUGGUUACUAUUUUGGUCUAGAUUUAUACUUUACUUUUGAAGUGAUGAAUUUGUUCAAAAUCUUAACUUCUUGUUGGAUUUCAUGUAAAACUUGGGUUUUUUUUUACUGAGCUAUUUUGAUGGACUUUUGGGUUUUUUUUUUCUUUGAGCUUUUUCUUCCUUUAACUUAUAGCUGAGAACUUUGAAGGUGGUUGGUCUCAAUUCGGUGAUACAUUCAAUUAAAUAAAAAAUUCUUGUUUGGUUUUGUGUAAAAUAUUUUAUUGUUGAAGUGAUGGUUCUUCCUUUUGGGUUUUUUUUUUGUCUUUAAGCUUUUUCUUCCUUUAACUUAGAGCUUAGAACUUUAAAAGAAGGUGGCUGGUCUCAAUUCGGUGAUACAUUCAAUUAAAUACAAAAUUCUUGUUUGGUUUUGUGUAAAAUAUUUUAUUGUUGAAGUGAUGGUUCUUCCUUUUUAUUGCAGAGUCGUAGCUAGUGGCACCGUUGCAUCAGCUGCAGGAGAGAAAAUGCGGAGGUUUUGGAAAAUGUAUUUGGAAAACGUGAAGUGCCAAACCCUGUAGCUAGAUAGCAAGAACAAGUCACGAGGCUUGCCAAUAGAAUUUUUAAAACCGAGAUUCAAGAAAAUUAGUACCCUCCAUCUGUACUUCAGGUAAAUUCAUUAGUAAGUUCCUCAGAUUUCCUUACUAUUUUUGAAGAUUUGCAUCCUGCUGAACAUCACCGGAAUACAAAAUAAAAUCAUAAAAAUGAAUUUGUGUGAAAUUUUUAGAUAUCAUUUUGGUCACGUCUCCUGGAUUUUUCAUUCUGUGUUUGCAACAGUUAUCAUAGUAUCUUUUUUCAGUUAUCAUCAGUUAUCGUAGUACCAGUUAACUGUUCAUAUUUGCACACGAUUUAGUGUACACAUAGGAACCCGUAAUCAAAAUUUGAUGGGAUAUCUUCGCUUCAGAACAAAACAAUUAGAAUGAGGCUAGAUAAUAAUCUUAGAAAUGACUUCAGAAUAUCUUCCCUUGAUCUUGUAUUCUUAGAAUUAGUUUUACUGUCACCUAAAGAGGUAAUAAAAAUGAAGUUUGGUGUGUGAAAUGCAUGCAAAAUAGUAUAAUUGUAGUUUGCAGUGCUGGUAUUGUGCAAGGUACUAUUAGGGAUUAGAACACCUGAACAUUUAUCUGACAGAAAUCAUUAUUAAUGUUUUUAUUAUUUGAUUCCUUGUGACAUGAAGAUUGUUCAUCAACCAUCAUGCUCUUGCUAGCGUACUGUAUAAACUCACUAGUCUGAGAGCAACUUUAUUAUGUAAUAAUUUGUUACAUGACAAAAUAUUUGCCAUCAUGUUUCAGUUUUCUGAUCUCUUGAUGUUUAGAUAUAUUCAGCAGCCUAAGCGGACCAUUGGAUCAAUCUUUUACAUCUCCGAGAAUUGAUUUAAUCUUUAUUCCAAAUCUACUCAUUGUCAGAAAGUUCAGCAUCAUAAAUAGGGAUGAGGUGUACAACCAUCUCUCUACCUCCUAAUUUAGAGAAUUCACUCAAUGUAUGCUUCCUUCAAAAUGAUCUAGAUUUUGAAUCUUACAUUAAAUAAUAUUUCCUUCUGCAUGCCUAUCAAAAUCAUUUAAUCUCAGUACAUGUGGUCUUCAGCAUGCUAUAAGAUUUGCUGUAUCACUCUUUCUUGAACUACUCUCAAACAUGAAUGCAUGAUACAGUUUCUUGCUUUUUCCUAAAUGAAAUUCUCAGUUAAUAGACUGCCAAUUUGUAAUCUUUUGGCUUUUUUCAUUUGCUGAGAAUUGAUUUCUGAAAGCCACUAAAUAAAAGGCAUAAGAUGUUUCUUAUUACUUAUCUGGAUAUCGCUGCUUAAUUUCUAUGUGAUUACUAGAGCAAGCUCAGUGAAGAUUUCUUGGUGGGCUGCUUAAUUAGCUGUGAGUGUUAGCUCCAAUACUCACAUUCUACAAGGGAAAUCUGCCCCCACAUGUCCAUUGUGGAGUAUCAUGGAAUUUUGUACCUAAAUUGGGACAAUUUCGUAAGUUUCUAUGGUGGGUGAUAUACAUGUCUAUGGGAAAUGUCGAGUUUUUAUUUGCAUGGCAUUGUACAUGGAUGAUCUUAUAAAUGAUAAUUACCUUAGUCUGAUGCAAAUUAUAGUGUCUAAUUUAAUUAAAUUGAAAAAUCGAUUAGAAUGAGGAUUCAAAAUGCUGUAAAAAAGAUACAUGCAUCUUGAACCUUCGCAUUAAAAGAUCUUCCAUGCUGACCUCUUGCUUUCAGGUGUCACUAAGUUGGCUGCAUAAUGGUAGAUGCCUUUUUAAUUGCUGUGGAGGUUCCUUUCGACGAUCAACUUUAUUGCCUCUUUCUUUCUUUUCUUUCCCUUAUAGUUUUUGUCAUUAUGUGGAAGCAUCAACCUACUGCGAAUACUACGUUAAAAUAAUUUGGAUUAAAAAUUUACUACAUAGAUUCUCUCAACUAUAGGCCAUUUUGAAAUUGAAACCUCAAUUAUUUUUCUUUUGAUUUUGGCUUCCUCGACUUUUGAUUAUUUUGAUUCAUGUUAUUUUCACUUGGAGAAUUUGGGGCUGUCAAACAGCUUUAAUUUUUAAUGAUUCUCCUCUUCUAAUGUAUGAAAAUAAUUAAAAAGAAAUUAAAAUUUUGAGGGAAUAUCAAUCGGAAGAAAAACAGCUGAGGGGUCUAUUUCAAAAUAACCUACAGUUUGAGGGGGAUCUCCAUAAAUUUUCCCAAUAGGUUUUCUGCUUUUAACAAUCCAUGCUUACUUCAUCUUUUAUUCUAGCACUCGUAUGGCUGAGCUUUGCUUUAAAUAUUUUGAUAUUUGAAACAACUUGGCUAAUUGGUAUCUCAGUCUUUCAAGUUUCAACUUACUAUUAAAUUUGCUUCAGUAUCCAGCAUCAUAUAUUUUACUUGAUGACAAUGAAACAGUUUGUUGUAAUAUAUGUUGAUUUUGUUAUCCUCUAUUACUUUAAUGUAGUGCGUGUAUAACACAAUAGUUGUCUGAUUUAUACUUCUUCGCUUUCAGUCAUUUCAUGGUAUUUCUUCUUAACUGCAAGCGUGCAUAACAACUUAACACUACUUGCUGGAUAGAUACCUGAAAUUUGUGAGAAAAUCAUUGCAAUCUGUGUUGGGAAUUUGACUAGGUUUACAAAGGAUUUCAUCCAUUCCUAUGUUAGGAGCGUGGCUAGGUUUACAGAGUAUUUUUAUGUGAAUUUCGAUCUGGUGAUUCUUUUCUUCUCUCUUUUUUUUUUUUUGUUUUUCUCUCUCAACUUUAUUUAAUAAUUUGUUUUUAGUAGACUUUUGUAUUUUUGACUGUCAUGUAAGGUAGCCAGGGGAUGGUUCUUAAAGAGAGAUUAAAAAAGGGUAAGUUCUUUGAUUUGUUACAUGGUAGCAGAAUCUGAGUAUUUUGGUAAGUAUCUUCUGUAUGAUAGGAACAAAUUUCUCUUGCAGGUGCUUUAUCGAAAGUGCACUGCUUCAAUCUCGUCAGAUAAGACAAAGUAUGCCUCUAUAACUUUUCCUGUGCAUAUAUUCCUUUACAAACUGAAUUCAUAAAUUAAUACAUAACUGCCAUAUUUUCUUGCUAUAUCAGCCAAAAUUUUCAGUAUCUGGGUUAUAGUUGAAAAAGAAGCUUGAAUUGCAUGAGCAAGUUAUAGCCUUUUGUUUAGAAGCCCCCACAUAAACUGUUAACGAGUAAGUAGUUGGAGUUCAUUUUUGUAAUGAAUAUUUAGCAACAAAGUAUUUGUUUCUUGCUAAAUUUUUUUAAUUUUUUUUAAAAAAAAAAAAACUAUACUCCAGGCAAGAGACGAAUUGUGGAGUGGUAAGUUUAAACUGAGAGGAUAAUAUCUUUGGAGCAGUCAUAAAACGGCUCAACGAUGAUUUAUUCGUCAAGCAUGACAAGUAGUUCCGACUAGAGCCUCGAUUACGACUACCCAAUAUUUCUUGCUUUUGCAAAUGAAGAGCACCACUCUACCUUGAUGUUAGUGGCAUAAUGUGACUUUCUAAGUUGGUAAUCAUGCUUUCAAGUUAAUGCUUUGUAGAGAGAGUGAGAAUUGAAGCUUUUAUAAAAACAAAGAAUCUGUCAUUCAUUAAAUGUAUAGAGGUACGCAGUGCAAAUCCAUGACCUUGUGCCUGAUUUCUUGUUUUUUUUUUACGGAAAUUCCUUUUUUUUCCUUGCACCUGAUUUCUUUUUUUUUUAGGGAGAUUCCUUUUUUUUUUCUUGAAACAAGCAAAACUCAAAACAAAUCUUGUCCAGUUUGAAAUGAAGUUUGAGCCUGUUUUUACUAAUUUAUGAAACUUGUGCACGACAAGUCAUCACUGUUUAAAAAAGCGCGCCUAGGCGCAGCGCCUAGGCGCCUAGGCUCUAGGCGCACAGGCCAGCGCCUAGAGUAGCUCUAGGCGGGCGCCAUGAUUCAGGCGCGCGCCUAGGCAGCCUAGGCGCGCGCCUGGGCCUAGGCGCAAGGCGCUCUCAAGGCGCGCCUAGGUAAUAUUUAUAGUAACGGGUUUGGAUCCAGAUUUUAUUGGUCUAACGGGUUGAAAUAUCUAAAAUAAACCCAAUACCCUAAACUAAACCCUAAAUAAUCAUCAAUUAUUUCCCUAUUCCUUUCUCCCUGUCCGCUCUUCCCUCUCCCUCUCCGCUCGGCCCCUCUCCCUCUCCGCUCGCCCGCUCGGCCAUCUCUCUCUCUCCGGCGCUCCCUCUCCGGUUGUCCUUGCUUCCGGCACCUCCUCCUUGCUUCUUCAACUCGCUCGCCUCUUCUUCUAAGGUUUUUUGUCUCUUCCUUGGCCUCUCUCUAGUUUCUCUUUUAGUUUUUUGUGUAUAUUUCUAUUUUUUUUUUUAAAGCAGUGCUUUCUAUGCUUUUUUUUUAAGUAGAAAUUUUCUGUUUUAUUUUUUAAAAAAACAGCAUUUUACUUGAAAAUAAAACAGCAUUUUAACAUUUUAAAAAACAGCAUUUUACUUGAAAAAACAGCAUUUUACUUGAUAAGAUGAACUUUUUUUAAAGUAAAAAAAGUCCUUGAAAAUAAAAAAUGAUCAUACAUAUUUGCUAAAUUGCAGUUUAGUAUUUUUGAAUGGAUUCGAAAGCAACCGAAAGAGAUCCUGCAUGGAAGUAUGUAUCUUUAUCUUUCACAUGAUCAUGAUGCUUUUUUAAUGUUUUUGGCUUGAAACUUUAAACUUUUUAACUUUUAAGCAUAUUACUUUUUUAUGAUCUUGUGCUUAUGAUUAUAUGCUUUUCACAUCUAACUUUUCUAUAUGUUUGUGAAUUAAUACUUACAUUUAUGCUGUCCUUUAUUUUGAGAUAAAAAGGUAAUUUACACUUAGUAUAUGAUUUUAUAUAGUAUAUUUAAUGCUGCUUAACAAUUAGUAGAAAGAAUGGUAAGAAACUUCUUGAUUAUUUACUUAUUUCAAAAUUUUAUGAAAGUGUGCGCCUGACCUCUCUCGGGCGCGCGCCUGCGCCUUGCGCCUUGCGCCUAGGCUCCAACAGGCCUUUGCGCCUAGGUGCGCCUUGGGCUUUUUUAAACACUGCAAGUCAUUAAAAAACUAUUUUUUUUUCUUUUUCUUCUUUUUUUUUGGAAAGGUUUGAUUAAUUGUUUUAUCUGAAAGUGGCAUAAUCCAAAACAAAUCUUCUUGUCCAGUUGAAUUGGAAUUCAAACCUGUUUUUGCAAGCAUUCAAAGAAAGAACUUUUGCAUUCAAGGGGAAAGUUGAACUUGUUCAUGCAAAGAUCUCUCCUAUGAUUCCUUAACUGUGUAUAUUUUUCUUCUUAAACUGUAUUAUGUCACUAAGCUGUAAUGUUACUAGCUUAAAAAAACCAAAAAAAAUAGAGCUUCAUAUGUUGCAUUUAUUAUCUCUUUACAUAAUUGGUCAUUUGAUGGUAACAGGUCGGACUCCGAUUGCGCUAUAACAUAAUGGAAGGCUUUUAGAUUUGGUCAUAGAGCCAGCUCUCAAACUCAUGGAGUAAGUUAGGGGUGUGAAACUGCUAAACAGAGUAACUAAAUUGAACCAAUGGUUUAGGUCUGGUUUAGAUUUUCUUUAUCAUUUUGAGGAAAAAAAAAAACUGGUUGGGUUUUGGGUCAAUAUGGUAGGAACUAGGAACUGCAUUAUUUUGAUUAGCUUUCAGUACUGAUCAUGAGAAAUGGCUUAAAACAAACCAGCCGGUUAGUAUGUCAUAUUUUUAAACCAAACCGGCCUUAGUCCCUGUGGUUUGAUCUUAGCUCAUUGUACUUGACAUUGGAAGGUUAACGUGCGCAUUACCACGUGAUGAAGCGCAGGAUAGCAUGAAGGCAAUGGACGAGGGCUACAUAAUUGUUUCGCCCUCCAUGCGCCAUUCCGAUCUAAAUCGGGACCAAUUGCUCUUCUCCUUCUCUCCUCCUCUCUUCCACUUGUCGGUGACUCCAAAACCAACGGAGUCGAAGUGCAAACUAAACCCUAAGGUACUAACUCGAAUGCUCCUAAUCUUCGAAGGAUCAAAUAAAUCCCUUUUCCAUUGUAAGAAUUUGAUCUCUCUAUCUCUCCCUCCAAUGUGAUGAAGGAUCAGAUACCUCUUCCAUUCCCUCCAUCGAAUCCUCGAUUUGAAGCCAAGACUGAUCUCGAUCUUGACCUCUCUUGUCGAUUUGAGAUCACAGGAUCCCUGAUCUAUUAAAAAGUCCGAGUACGUUUUGAUCUAAAGAAAGCGAGAUGAUUCUUUGACGCGAACUAUAUAUCUUGCAAUGCUUGAUCGUGAUUCUGCUGUGUUUGAUUUUGUUCCUGCUUUUAUUCAUGAUUCAUGAACUUUCUGUUUGAAGGAAAAGAUUGAGGAAUUUGCCGAGUUUUUGCAUCUGGAGAAGAAGGAUUUAGGUGCUCUUAUUCCAACUAACGUAUCUGAUCUGAUUUUUUUUUUAAAAAAAUUGAAACAACUUUCUAUAAUGCUCGUAAUUUUUCUUUCUAGUACUUCUUUACAGUUCUAGCUGAAUUUACCUGCAGGUAGCUAAUUGAUAAAUGAACGAGAAGAAAAGGGUUUAGGUGUAAUCGAAGUUCUAGAACUAGGUGAUCUUUUCAUCUGAUGUGCUAUUUGUGUUUGUGAAUUUCAGGAAAGCCAAUUAAAAAGUUUCCAGUUUCAAAUAGUUUAGAGAGAGCUCUCUAGUCCAAACUCUAUAUGAAUUCUGUGAAUGAUUCUAUCUUAACAUCACUUGUAGCCACGCAGGACAAGGGGAAUUUAUGUAUUGUCCCCUUAGUGACCAACAAUUGGAAAUUUGUUUAAUGAUUUACCUGUAUGGGUUCUCUAAUCUCAUCAUGAGUUUGAGGCAAAACAUUUUGCUUCUACUAGUUGAUUGGCUUUGUUGUGUUUAAUUACUCUGAAGAUUAUUUGAUUUAUGUGCUUCUUAUGCUGGUGCUAGCGUGAUGAUAGUGUUAUUACAGGGAAGUAAAAUAUAUUCUCCGUCCAGGUGCACAAAUUAUUGAGUUUAUGGUGCCUCGUGAGUCUAUUGGAAUGCUGCUUCUCAACAUUCUCAGAUUUUAGUGGAAUAUUCUUCUUCCAGGUGUGCAAAUAAAGUAAAUUCUUCUUCCAGCUGUGCAAAUUAUUGAGUUUGAGUUUAUAGUGCCUCGUUAGUCUAUUGAAAUGCUGCUUCUCAACAUUCUUAGAUUUUGUAGAAUACAUAAACUUUAAUUCAAAAAAAAAGAGUAUGGAAUCAGAAUCCGUAACUUUCUUUACAUUUGAAGUUAUUGGAUCAAAAUUGCCAAAUAUUAUAACUUAUCUGAAUAUCAUCGAAUAUUUGCAUUCUGCUGUUAGUUUUUGAACUCUUCAGGCAUCCAAUUGUGGGACUCAAACUUCAAUUGGUUGUCUAGCUGUUUAAUCUAGAUUUGUAUUUCGCUUUUGAUGUGAUGGAUUUGUUCAAAAUCCAAAUAUCUUGUUGGAUUUCAUACAAAACUGUUGGAUUUUUUUUGUCUUAUGAAUUGUUUUGAUUGAUUCUUUUUGCUUUUCUGUUUUUCUUUUCUUACUUUAGUUUAUAGCUGGGAACUUCUUAUUUGGUUCCAUAGAGAAUAUUUUAUUGUUGCAAUGAUAGGUCUUCUAUUUCACUGCAUAGUCUUGAUGGUUGCACCAUUGCAUUGAAAUUGUAUUUGGAAAAUGCUAAUUAAAUGAAGUGGUAGCAGCCUACCAUUUUCUCAAAAAAAAGAAAGGAAAGAAAAUGUAUUUGGAAAAUGUGAAGUGCCAAAACCUUGCAGCGAGAUAGCAAAAACUGGUCCUUUUGCCCAUUUAAACUACAUUAUUAUGUGUGAAGCAUAGUGAACAAUGAGAUUGGAAAGGAGUCAGCAACGUCUAAUACAUAACAGGGCAAGGUAGUUGAAGAUACGAUUAAAUUUUCUCUCUCUUUGCUUUCUCCAGAACAAAUUAUCUUGAUAGAUUUUCCAUGUAUUCUUCUUGCUAUCAUUGCGACUCCCUUAUCUUAUGUGUUUUCUGGCAAGGUGGGAUACAUUUCUUUCCUUAAAGUUUUUAUUACGUGAUAAUGUAGUUCUUUUAUAGUUGAUCAACUCACACAAUCAGUAGAGCAAGCCAUAUGAAUCUUAAACGAGAUGAGCAUAAUAAUGUAAGAGACAUAAAUGCUCUAGAAACUAGUAAGCAUUCAUCUGAAUUACAUCAUUUUGUCUUUUGUUUAGUUUAUUCUCGAAUUUAGGUGCUUGAAAAAAAUACUGUUUUGGUUGAAAGUUGUUAAAAUAGACUCUGCACAAGAGAAGUUUAACUGUAAGUCGGAGUUUUCCCACAAUUUUGUUUAUCUCUUUGUUAAAUUAGGCCCGUAGAUUCUGUACAAUAUUCCAAAUCUUUUAAACUAACAAUUUUUGUUAGAGGGAGAUCCAUGUGGCUAUUUCAAAUAUAUCAUGGUCUGGUCAUAGAGAUCGAAGACAAAAAUUUACUUGACUCCUAAAUUUAAUUUGAUCUUGUUUAGUUAAAUAAAUGAAUAACUGAAACGAUCUGAAUUAUAUAAUUGUCAUAAAUGGCAACUAAGCUUCAUGUAUUCUAGAAUGUCGGCACUCGUCUUCAAUUGGCUGCAGCAAGUUAUUAUGCAACAAUAUGCUUUACUUUUUUCUCUCUUGCUCUGGGUCUUUAUUCGUCCAUAUAAGCUGAUUUGUUAUCAUAUACCAGGAGAGAAGAACAUCGCUCUGAUUUAACAAUGAGGUAUGUUUUGAGUCAGAUAUUUUAUUAUCAUAUGUAGAGCCUUCAAUAAAUACUACUUUUUUGCAGGCAUGAUUCAAAGCAAAUCUCCUUGUCCAGAGACAGGCGAGCUUGGUUUUGCUAAUUUACAAACUUUGUGGACCAUAACUUACAUGCAAAGAGGUAGUCUAAUUUGUUCAUGCAAGGAUUUUGCAAGAUACAGCCAUCUCCUGUAUGAUUCCUAAACUGUAAUACUUUUAUCUGAAAAAACUAAUUUUUAUAUGUUGCUUUUAUUGUUUCUUUAUUAAUUCGUUAUGGUUAUUUGUAGGACAGGUUGGACCCUAACAAUUCAAAUGGUGUACCUAGUUAGAGGGUAAAGGUGUAUUGGGAAUCCCUUCAACAAUACGCUAGUUUAAAAUGGCCACCUCCGCUCAUUUUUAUUUUUUUUCCCUUGCACCUCCUUAACUUUAAUUUUUUGAAAUUACAUGAUUUUAUUUAAUUAAAAUUAUAAAUUAUAUCAAAUUUAAUGCUUUGAUUAAUUUUUAGCGAAUAAAGUAAACAUUUAAUGUCUAAUAUUUUAACAGAAUUAUUAAAAUUUUAAAAAAUAAACUAUCUAGAGUUAACUCGAAUAAAAAAAUUAUAAGUUAUGGAGGUGUUUAUAAGUUAGGGCCCAUUAUUCUUUUAUGGUGGCGUUCGGCUCAUUAAUUUCGACUUUUAAGCUAUAUAGUACCCUCUCAACUUUUAAGCUAUUGCCAUUGUAUCCCUUCGCAUCAUUUCUCUGUUAGAUAUUAUUAUAAAAUACAAUACUAAUAUAUGUUGAUUUAUGAAAAUACUAAAAUUGCCCUUUUUGGAAAUGUAACGGAAUGGGGUACAGCCAGGGUAUUUUCUGUAUUAAUAUUUCAUUCAACAUUUCAUUUUGUGUUCCGAAAGAUAGUUGAUAGGGAACUGACAUGGUUUCAGUUUUUAAAGUUCAGCAUGGCAAAGUAAUAAUGGUUAUAUAGUUAAGAAGAGUUUUCUGCAUUUUAAUUCUUCGUUUUCUUUUUUUAAUUAGCGAUACCAACUAGACGAGAAUUGAAGUCUGUUUUUUUUGUUUUAUUUGAGACUGAAAUUUCAUCCUUUUUUGAGUGUCGUUGCUUGAAGAUUUCUUAACUCCACCAUAUCACGUGGAGAUCAUUUUUGGCAUGAGAGAGUACAAAGAGGAAACCUCGCAACAACAACUACUAAGGCACUCCAUUUUCACGUGGCCACAACAAGGUAUAAUGCAUCAAACACUCCUUGUUGCCCUUAGUCCUUAGUCACCUAUUUAAACUGAUCUAUUAUGAUAUGCCAGGAGGGGUCUGAUUAUGUUUAAAAAUGAGGGUAAGUUUUGAACUUUGGAUCAUAUGUUUGUCAACAGUCGGCUAACUGUUUAUCCUAAUCAUUAAAUCUUUUCAAUAAAUUCCAUUUUUUGUAGGCAUACUUCAAACAGAUCUCCUUGUUCAACUUGACGUAGAAUUUGGACUUAAUUUUUCCUAAUUUAAAAACUUUGUGCACCUUAAUUACAAGAAACCAAAGAAUGCAUUUACAUGCAAAGAGGUAGUGGAACAUGUUCAUGCAAGGAUCUUGCAAUACAACAGAAAACCCAAGGAUCUUGCAAGCCGUCUGCUCUUGCUGAAUAAUCUUUUAUGAUGUCAUCAAGACAACAUAGGUAUAUCUGCCAGUGGGUUUUAUGUUCUCUUUGCAUUUGAAGUUAUUUUGGGCUGAAAUUGCCAAAUUUUUUAUUUAAUUAUCCACAUCAAAUUUUUGCAUUCUGCCAUUGGUUUGAACUCUUCUGGCAUCCAAUUAUGGGACUCGAGCUCCAAUUGGCUAUUUACCGUUUUGGUCUAGAUUUAUAUUUUACUUUUGAAGCGAUGAAUUUGUUCAAAACCUGAACUUCCUUGUUGGAUUUCAUGUAAAACUUGAUUUUUUUUUCUUAUGAACUAUUUUGAUGGACUUUUGGGUUCUUAUUUUUCUGUGUUUUUACAGCUGAGAACUUUGAGAGGUGGUGGUUGAUCUCAAUUCAGAGAUGUAUUAAAUUAAAUACAAAAUUAUUGUUUGGUUUCAUGUAAAAUAUUUUAUUGUUGAAAUGAUAGUUCUUCCUUUUAAUUGCAGAGUCGUUGAUGGUGGCACCAUUGCCCCAAGCUUUAGGGGAGAAAAUGUGGAGGUUUUUAAAAAUGUAAUUUGAAAACGUGAAGCGCCAAACCCUAUAGCUAGAUAGCAUGAACAGAUUAUCUUUCCAGUUUUAACAAAUCACGAGACUUGCAAAUUGAAUUUUCGAAAGUGAGGUUCCAAAAAAUUUAGUACCCUCCAUCUGUACUCCAGGUAAGUUCAUUAGUAAGUUCCUCAGAUUUCUCUAUUAUAUUUGAAGAUUUCGUAUUCUGCUGAACGUCACCAGAAUACAAAAAUAAAAUCAUAAAAAUGAUUUUGUGUGAAAUUUUUAGAUAUCAUUUUGAUCACGUCUCAUGGAUAUAUGUCAUUGCAGUUGCAUCAGUUAUCAUCGCAUAUUUUUUCAGUUUUAAUAAUGCUUGACUGUGGUAUCCUCAUGUUUCUGAAUUCUGAUAGGAUCUUCUUGACAUUUGAUGAAAACAUGGCUAGAAUUUCACAAAAGGACUUGCCACUUUAUUUUUGUCAUUAUCCUAUUAUGAUGCCGUAGACCAAAAUUCCCAGUUAACUGUUCAUACUUGCACACGAAUUAAUAUACACAUAAGAAACCCUAUUCAAAAUCACUGAUUGGACAUCUUUGCUUUGGAACAAAACAAUUAGAAUGAGGCUAGAUAAUAUUAGAAAUGACAUCAGAAUAUUUUCCCUUGAGUUUGUAUUCUUGGAAUUAGCUUACUAUGUGUCCUACAUAGGUAAUAAUAAAAUGAAGUUUGGUGUUUGAAAUGCAUGCGAAAUAGUAUAAUUUUAAGUUUGCAGUGCUUGAUAUUUGGGCAAGGUACUAAUAGGGAUUAGAACACAUGAGAAUUUUAUCACAGAAAUCAUUAAUAACAUUUUUAUUAUUUGAUCCCUUCUGACAUGUGGAUUGGUCAUCAACCAUCAUGCUCAUGUUAGUGUACUUUAUAAACUCACAAGUCAGAGAGCAACUUUAUUAUGUAAUAGUUUGUUGCGUGACAAAGUAUUUGCCAACCAUCAUGUUUCAGUUUUCUGAUCUUUUGAUGUGUUUAUAUAUCAGCCUAAGUGGAACAUUGGUUCAAUCUUUUACAUCUCAGAGAAUUGAUUUAAUCUUUAUUCUAAAUCAUUUGUCUGCUCUGUUCCUUUUCGGUCAGUUCAGCAUAUCAUAAAUAGGGUAUGAGGUGUACAAUCAUCUCUCUACUUCCUAAUUUAGAGGGUUUACUCCAUGUAUGCUUCCUUCAGAAUGAUCUAGAUUUUGAAUCUUACAUCAAAUAAUAUUUCCUUCUGUGUGAGCCUAUCAAAAUCAUUUAAUCUCAGUACAUCUGGUCUUGAGCAUGCUAUAAGAUUUGUUGUAUCACUAUUUCUUGAACUACUCUCAAAGAUGAAUUCAUGAUAUCUUGCUUUUCCCUCGAUGAAAUUCUCAAUUAAUAGACUACCAACUUGUAAUCUUUUGGCUUUUUUCAUUUGCUGAGAAUUGAUUUCUGAAAGCCACUAAAUAAAAGUUAAGGCAUAAGUAAGGCAUAAGUUGUUUUUUAUUACUUAUCUUGAUAUCUCUGCUUAAUUUCUAUGCAAUUACUAGAGCAAGCUUAGUACAGAUUUCUUUCUGGGCUGCUUAAUUAGCUGUGAGUGUUAGCUAAAAUACUCACAUUCUACAAGGGAAAUGUUAAAAUCGGAACGGCGAAAAAUAGAUCCAGAAAAUAAUUUAAUGCAAGAAAAGAAAAGAUAAGGAAAGAACACACCGAUAUUUACGUGGUUCGGCCAACGGCUUACGUCCACGGGCGAAGACGGAGCAAAUAAUUUAUUAAUGUCGAAAAGGCGGAGUACAAAUAAGAUCUCUCAAAAGAACCCGAAAUUUAAUUAGAUCCGAAACGCCGCAACAAGAA
rnacentral:lncRNA from 1 species